rnacentral:lncRNA from 1 species
UAUCUAUAGCAAUUAUAAGUCCACAUAAAUAAACUGAGAAACUUGCCUUGAUUGGAGAUUACCGAAAAAUUUAACUUAGCUUCUCUCCACAAAUCCUACACAACUUGAUUGGAGAUUACCGAAAAAUUUAUCUUAGCUUCUCUCCACAAAUCCUACACAACUUAUUGAUUCGAAGGUAACAAAGAAGUUAUACUGCCCAGCUUCUCCUCCUACUCUUAGCCGGACUCUUCCUCUCUUACUCUCACUGAAUUGAUAUAGCUUUUAAUUUCU